UACAGAGGUCUCAAGCGUUGUUCGGAUUCAUUGGGCGUAAAGGGUGCGUAGGCGGCGCGGUAAGUCGGGUGUGAAAUCUUGGAGCUUAACUCCGAAACUGCAUUCGAUACUGCCGUGCUUGAGGACUGGAGAGGAGACUGGAAUUUACGGUGUAGCGGUGAAAUGCGUAGAUAUCGUAAGGAAGACCAGUGGCGAAGGCGGGUCUCUGGACGAAGCUUCCUUCGAU
rnacentral:rRNA from 1 species